GUUGACGCCGCCAACAUCCCCACCUGACGAGUCGACAGUUCCGGAGCAACCACUUCACCCAUCAACUACCAUAUCAAAACAAGACACCCCAAAAUCAUCAAGCAGACGCCUUCCGCACCUGGCCACCCUCCAGCAGACGGGGAACGACCGGCGAGAAACUCCCAUACCGCACAGACUUCAGACCCAAGAGGCGCACACGACAAUACAUCAUUCAUAUAAAUAUAGUGUGUAUUUCAUAAUUGUGUUCUUAAAUUUGUAUUUUCAUUGAUACUCUAUUGUAUAUAUAAUAUCAUUUUAUCGUUACAUUUUUGGUUCCCUAUUGUCAAUUUUACAUUUCAUUAAUUUCAUAAAAUGGAUAUUGUUAUUAACAUUUCAUUUUUUAUAUUGUUCUCUAAUUAUUUCAAGUUAUUAUUUAAAUACAAUGGCAACUCUUCUAGUAAUUUAUACAUUUCCCUCCCUUUAGAUCACCAUCAACUGCAUCACAUAUAAUACUUUUUAAAUACUUUUCCCAAAUUAAGAAAAAUCCAUAGACGCACUAAAAAGUUACUAUUUACCCACAUGUUAAAUAAUCCUAACAUUUCAUUUUCAAGCUUAAUUUUUGCUAUAGACUACUUCGACAUAAAUAUACUCUAUCUUCAAAUGCUCGACCAUCUACUUUAUGAAAUCCACCCCCUAAAUUUUCAAAUCUGCCAAACAAUUAUUUUAAGGUUCGGUUCAAAAUCCCAAAUAUCCAUAAUA